AGAAUCAACGCUGGCGGCGUGCCUAACACAUGCAAGUCGAACGAGAAAGUGGAGCAAUCCAUGAGUAAAGUGGCGCACGGGUGAGUAACACGUGGCUAACCUACCCUCGAGUGGGGAAUAACUUCGGGAAACCGAGGCUAAUACCGCAUAAAACCUAAGGGUCAAAGGAGCAAUCCGUUUGAGGAGGGGGUCGCGGCAGAUUAGUUAGUUGGCGGGGUAAUGGCCCACCAAGACGAUGAUCUGUAUCCGGCCUGAGAGGGCGCACGGACACACUGGAACUGAAACACGGUCCAGACUCCUACGGGAGGCAGCAGUGGGGAAUUUGCGCAAUGGGGGAAACCCUGACGCAGCAACGCCGCGUGGAGGAUGAAAUCCCUUGGGAUGUAAACUCCUUUCGAUCGGGAAGAUAAUGACGGUACCGGAAGAAGAAGCCCGGCUAACUUCGCGCCAGCAGCCGC
rnacentral:rRNA from 1 species